CUCAUCAGAUGUUGUUGAUUUGUUUUGUCAUGCUCAUCACAAAUCAAAUCAUAAUGUUAUGUUUAUUGUUUUGGGUGCUUGAGGAAGAAGAAGCUCCUCCUGAACUUGAUAUUGAUGAGAUUGAGAAUCUUCUUUAUCGUGGUGAUAGUGCGAUUCCAAUUGUUGGUGAUUCAUUGAGAAACCAUCAAGGCGACUAACAAUUUGAUACUAUGGAGUUUCAAGUUGAUGAAGACAGUGGUGUUGAUGGAGAUGAUGGUAUUGAAGAUAUUGUCAUUCCGAGGGUCAUAAUUGAUUACGGAGCAACAAGCCUCGAUGACUAUAAUGAUUGACAAUUGUAUCAAUUAUUUUGUUUCUAUGUUGUUAAUGACAUAAUGUACACUGUUA